AGAAAACGUUAAACAGAUACACCAAACGAAGUGAAAAAUACAAUGUGUAGCCUGGAUAGAAGCUUACAUACCGUGCUCCACUCGGCGCCAUAUUGAUAUCGAUUGACCCUCGGUGUUUCUGUGUGUAGUGCACGAGGCUGAGCGCAGCGCUGCAUCCCCUCCACCCGCAGGCGGUACAACAGUAGACCCUGUCUCCUGCAAGAUAAAUGGUACUUUGGGAAUUGCGUUUAAUUAGGAAUAACUGAGGAGAGAGAGGCUUGCUCAUCCACCGGUGGUCUAAUCACAACAUGUGUUCAAGCCAACUGACAAGGUUGCGCAGUCAUGUGCUUACCUAAAUAUCCCAGGAGGUUAGGAGGAGCAGAUGUCUGUCUGCCCUGUGAGCUGCCAAGUAGGUCUGAAGCAGGGGAGCCACAAGACACAAGGCCCCAAAUGGUGUGACAAAGGAUGUGCAGGAAGCCUGUCUCCGCCUGGGGCAGGAUGGAUCCUAACUCCAUCCACUGUCCAUCUCUGACAGCCAGGAGAGAGGACAGCCAGGAGAGAGGACAGGCAGGAGAGGGGACAGGCAGGAGACAGGACAGGCAGGAGACAGGACAGCCAGGAGACAGGACAGCCAGACCUGCAUACAUAACAUAGAGCUGUUGGGGAUCAAUCAGACGAGAGCCCCUCGGUCAUCCAGUCAUCUAUUUAGGUCCACUCCGUUGAGAGAAUGAUUAGCAGCAUAAAGAAAGGACAGUGUUGAACUUCCAUAGACUCACUGAUAGUACAGUAUCAUGGAGAUGGUGUUAGAGAAGCCGGCGGUAAACCUGUUCCUUUUCUAAAUCAUUUGUUGACAUUAAGUUUAUGACUUAGAGUUGGAGAGAUAGAUGAACGAUCAUAUUCAUUCUGUUCAUUUAUCUUGAACUACUUGUCACUGAAUUGUACUACUAUCUCAUCAAACAUAACCGUCUCAAAUAAAUGGUAAGUAAUAAAUCGGAGGCUGUAUCUUUUAGCACAGUAUUGUGCAUUAUUUGCAUUCCAAUCAACAUUUAUCUUGUCUGUGUCUCUUUUCAAUAAAGUUUGCUGAUUUAUUGUGGAAGCCUGCC
rnacentral:lncRNA from 1 species